GAUGUGACGAGGGCCACCAACAAGCAGAUGAGGGAAGAGGACCAAGAGGAGGCUGCCAAGAGGAGGAAAAUGAGCCAGAAAGACACCAAGUGGGCGGAACAGUAGUGCCAUGGACUGCGAAGGAAGAAGAGUAUGAAGAAGAGCGGCUGCUGGCUUCCUAGGCCCGUCCUCCAGCUUCUGGAACUUCAAGGGAUUUGACUUGAUUACAGGAAGUCCCAGCAAUUGCAAAAAGAUGAAAUUGUUGUCACCAUCCUACACACUGCCACUGAAUUCUUUUCUGAACACCAGUCCUGCUACUAACCCCCCAGUGUUUGCAGACUCUCUGGCAUGCAGUCUCUGUUUUGAGACCUUCAAGGAGGAACUGUGCACAGUGAAUCUUUGUGUUCCCAGAACUUACACCACUUGUGCAUAAGAGCCGGCCUGAUGCUGAAGGCCAUCUUCAUGUUAUAAAGUUGCUAGGUUCAGAGCUGGGGCCAUGGCAGCCCUAAGUAGUCAGACUCAGCCAUCAACUUCAGUGGGCUAGUUAGGCAACUAAAACAGCAAAAAACACACAGAGAAAAAGUGAGCCAGAGAGAAGGGGGUGGGGAAAGGGAGAGAGAGAGAGGGAGUGAGGGGGAGAAGAGGAAGGGAGAGGCAGAGACUGGGAGGGAGGGAAAGAGGAGAGAGAUGAGGGGGGAGAGAGAGGGAGGGAGAGAAGAGAGGGGAAGAGAAAGAGAGAAAAGAGAUAGAUAUAGAGAGAGGUAGGGAGAGAGAGGAGAGAAAAGAAAGGGAGAGGAAGAGAGGGGAUAGCUGGGAAGAAGGGGAGGAGAGAGAGGGAGGAAGAGAGAGAGAGGAGAAAGAAGAGAGGAGAGAGAGACAGAAGGACAGAGGGACAGAGCAGAGGAGGGAGAGGGAGGGAAACAGGAAGGAAGGGAGGGAGGGAGAGUUAUUUAUUCAAUGUGGCCACAUUAGGAAGAGAAUGAAAGUCACCAGUGAUUCUCCAAGUCCGUCUUCCAGGUGCUGACCUGAGGAUUAAGUUAAAACAGAGGGCAAGAGAUGAAGUAGAAAUUUCUGGUUUCUUUGGAGACUCAGUUGUGUCAUGUGUUUCCCAGAUAUUUUUCUGGAAACUAACUUAUGAGAAGAUGUUUUGCUGAGGACAGACAUUUGGUGUUUUCCUGGAAGCAGCCUGAUAAAAGGGUUGGUGAUGUUUUGCUGGAGCGGAUGCUUGAGAGGAGAGAGUAAAAGUAUAAUCCAGCAGACAGUGGAUGAUGCUCUGGCAUGGGCUCACCUUGCCCUUCUUUGCUGGUCUUCACUGGGCUUUGCUGACAGCACUCUGGUAUUGAUUAGCCUUCCUUUCUUGGCUGAUCAUUGUUUGUUGUGAUGGUGUUUGCAAAUGGAUCGAGCUACCUCUGCUAAUUCAUGUGAACUGAUCUGCUGAUAUCCUGACAGUGAAGAUUGCAAUCACCCCAAAGAACUACUUCUAAACAGGCCCACAUCCUCCUUUGCCCUAUUAACCUUUCCUUUCCACUACUUCUGGUGUGUGGUUGGCUAGAAGGAAGGUUAAAGCAUUUAAGAACCCUUAUUAAAGCAUGAUAGGUGAAGAGAUAUACAGAACUAAGCAGUUUCUGCUCAUAGUGUGGUCCUGCCCAUCCUCAUAGUCUUGGCUUUGUCUGUCCUACACGGAAUCUGACAAAUUGUCCAGAACUGUGGGAAAUUCUUACCAGGAUACAAGUUCCCUUUGGUACCAGACUUUGGGUUUUUCCCUCUCCUAUGAAGAUUCUCCAGGACAUUUCAGUAUUCUUGGGUUCAUUUUUUUUUCAAUAAUCCUUCACACAGAGGGCAUAAGUUCUUUCUAAAAUGUCCUCAAUUUUGCUAGGACUGUUAUAUCCAGGACUGUAAUUUUUCACAGUUCCAUGGUCUUUGAGUUAAAGCUAAGUGAAUCAGUGAUAGAGAUGGCUAGUCACUGACUAAGACCAGGGCUAUGGCUGACCCAGCCAGAACCCUUCCAGUUAGCAUCAACUAUCCCUUGUGGUCCCAGGGCUUCACUAUGACCAACCCUUGUGUUGCAAGUAUGUUCUAAGUGCUUGGAGGCUCCUCCCAGAGGUGGAGACGAGGGCUGAUCUCUCUUUGGGUGAACAGAAGACUAUGCUAAGGAUUGUUUGAGGUUGGGUGUGGAUUGUGUCAGGGCUUGGAGACCUGACAGACAAAACUUCAACUAGGAGCAAGUUUUAUUAAAAAAAAAGUGUGAAACUCAAGAGUAGGCAAAAAAACCUUGGCUCCACUUCCUUUGGUUAUCAUGCUAUGGUAUUUUCUAGUGAGUCCACCUGGGGCUCAUUGGGCUUUCUUAGAAGUAACUGUGUUCAGUGACAACUGAUUAAGAUUCAGAGGUUUACAACCCUGUGAAAUGAAAGGGUGGCUCAUACGGUCACAGGUACUUUGAAGUUGCCUUAGCUGAAAGCAGUUUCUCCUGUAGAGCCCUCAAGUUCACGUUAUCAGGAUGCAAGCCUGGUAUCACAGUCUUCCUUUUGCAUGUCUCUGCUUUCUUGAAACUUUGGAUGAAAUAUCUUAACUCUGCUUGGGGGUCUGCUAAUUACUAAGGAGUGUUUUUCAAGAUCCACUUAUUUUUAUGUGUAUGAGUACUUUGCCUGAAUGCAUGCAUGUAUACUGCUUGCCUGGCUGGUACCUGCAGAGACUGGGAGAGGAUGGUGGAUCUCCUGGAAUUGGAGUUAAGGAUGAUUUUAAGCCACAGUGUGCAAGUGGAAACAACACAGGUUCUAUUCCAGAACCCCAAGUGCUCUUAACAGAUGGGCCUCCUUUCUCCCUGCCCCAAGACUGGUUUCACAAAGAGCCCAGAACUCAUCUCAUUCCCCACAAGGAUGAAGUUACCAAGAUAAGUAGCUGAGGCAUGCAAGCUUUUAGGGGGUCUUGUUCUAUACUGUAGUCUAGUCUAUAGUCCUGUCCUAAACCAGCAGUCACCUCAGAUUUUAGGAGUAGCAGCUUUCCAAACAUCACCCCUUCAUGUGAUCACUCCAGAAGCAAAGAGGAAUGCUCUCAUGGGAACCAGCUUGCUCUAGCAAUAAGGACUCUUCAAACUACUCUGUUGCAGUUGCUAAUAAAUACUACUCAAAUCGACCAGGUGGCAGCCGUGCAUUUCUCGAUACCCACCCCAAUGUUCUGGGUUCCCAAAUGAAAGAAACAUGCACGCACGCACCCACGUGCCCGCGCGCACACAGCCUUAAACAGCUCAAUGGCUGGGCUACUUCCAAA
rnacentral:lncRNA from 1 species